rnacentral:rRNA from 1 species
UACAGAGGUCUCAAGCGUUGUCCGGAUUCAUUGGGCGUAAAGGGUGCGUAGGCGGUUGCGUAAGUCAGGUGUGAAAUCUCAGGGCUCAACCCUGAAACUGCACUUGAUACUGCGUGGCUCGGGUACUGGAGAGGAGACUGGAAUUUACGGUGUAGCAGUGAAAUGCGUAGAUAUCGUGAGGAAGACCAGUGGCGAAGGCGAGUCUCUGGACAGUUACCGACGCUGAGGCACGAAGGUCAGGGGAGCAAACGGG